GACGGGGGAUGCAAGCGUUAUCCGGAAUGAUUGGGCGUAAAGGGUCCGCAGGUGGCCCGGUCAGUCCGCUGUCAAAGCCUGGGGCUCAACCCUGGAGAGGCGGCGGAGACCACCGGGCUUGAGUCCGGUAGGGGCAGAGGGAAUUCCCGGUGGAGCGGUGAAAUGCGUAGAGAUGCGGAGGAACACCGAUGGCGAAGGCAGCCCCCUGGGUCGACACUGACGCUCAGGCACGAAAGCGUGGGGAGCAAACAGG
rnacentral:rRNA from 1 species